AAAGAAAAUAACCAAAAGUUCUAGCAUCGUUCAUAGGUCCUCGUACGUCUUCCAAAAUUUCCGGGCAAGACCUCGAUCCACUACUCGAUCCAUCCCGGUUGAUGAUUACUACUACCUGCAAUUAAAAGACAUCUAUAUGAGCUAUAAAGCUCAGUAAGAAAUCCGAUGAAAUAUCGAACUUUGAAAAUACGUUAUACAUAAUAUAUAAUAUUAUAUACCCAUGCUUACCCACGAAUCCGUACAACAACACAAGGCAAUCGAUAUCAUUACGUAACUCACGAGAACACAUCAUUUAACACAAAAUCACGUAAUCAUGCAAAAUGACUAAAAUGCCCUUUUUGUGAAAAUCAUGAAAAACACAUUUUCGUUUUAUCGGAUCCGUGAAAGAUUAAUUUCUGUACCUGGAUAAUAAACCUGUUACGAGCCCGUUUUCACUAAGUGGAAUCAAACCACUACACACAUCAUCCUAAUUGGAUACCGACCCACUAUAUCCGAGGUGUUUAUUACCCGAUAUUCCAUUAAUCUUUCAAAAAAAAUAAUUUUAAUGCAACUUUUCGAAAUCAUGCUAUAACCCCACACAUGACAUCACAAAUAUCAAUCAAGUGCCACAAAGUCACACAAAUCUUACAAUUUACCACAUAUUUGUAAAUUGGGCAAAAAUCCCAAAUUCACAUAUACGAACACACAACCACACACGGCACACACACCAUGCACAAUCAGCACACACACAUUCACACAUUUUCAGCACACACACAUGCAGCCAACACAUUAAACUUCACUAGCUAUUUAACAUCAACCAUGCUUAAAAACAAAUACCCCUUUCUCACAUCUCAUUUAAUGAACUUAUUACCACUUCUAGGUAAUAAUCCAUUUCAAUAACCUCUCACAGCCAUUAAACCACAUCCAGCAGCAAUAAAAAGUACCAAAAUACCAAAACUCAUCACUCAUAACCAUUAAAUCAAAACAUGAACAUUAAGGCACAAAACAUAUAUAAAUGAAAUGCAAAUUGUCCUAAUUUCGAAAUAAUAGCAAACUAAUUCCAAAAACCUCCAAAUAAAAUCCUAGAACUCCUAACUGACCCAAUUUCCAGAUUCUGAAAUUAUUUUAAAUUUUCACAAAGUUUCGAAUUUUCUUGAAAUUAAAAACUAGGAAAAUUUCUUUUUCAAUUUAAAAAUCCAAAACUCUAAUAUAACUCUAAUUGAUUCAAAAACUUGGUAAAUAAAACUUUUUCCUAUUUAGUACUAGCUGGAAAACAGAUACAAACUUUAAAAAUGAGAGAUUUUCCGAAAAUUGCAGUUUUGACCCAAAAGUUUCAAGAUUUAUACAUGCAACCACACUAGAAGUUCAAUUUCUACUUUUUCAUGAAAACCCCUAACAAAUAUGAAAUUACACUUUACUAGAUGCAGAAAAUGAAGUUGAAAAGUCACUUUAUGCAGAAAUUUUAGAAAUUACACAUUUUACCAUAAAAUCUCUAGAUCUAUACAUGCAAGCCUACUAGAAUUUCAAAAAUCAACUUUUCUUACAAAAAUCCCUUAAAUCCGAAAUUAUUGUUCAAUAAAUGCUGGAAAACAGUUUUGAAAACACUUUUAGGACUGACUUUACAGAAAUUACAGAUUUGAUCCAAAACUUUCGAAGAUCUACACAUGCAACCACAAAAAGUUAAAAAUUCGUUUUUCUUGAAAACCCCUUUUUGAAAUCUGAAUUUUUUAAGGCUCUUGACCAAUAAAAGUUGUAUCUGACCACUAUCAACUUAGAUGAUGCAUGCAAGAACAAGAAAUUAACAGGAAGCACUCAUUUUCCAUUUUUCUUCAAAAAGCCCCAUAUUUUCGAAAUCAUUCCCAAUCUUUUAAAAUUUCAUGAAAAUCAUUUCAAUACUAUUGAUGCCCUUUAAUUGCAGCAAGAAAUCGAAAUUUCUUACCUUAAGAAGCCGAAAGAAAAGAUGGAGGAAAAUCGAAGGAAAUGCUUCAAAGGUUGAUGCCAAGCUCUUGCCAAACUAUUUUGAUGGUGAAGGAGAUGGAGUGGAUUUUCAAGUGAGAUGUAUAUUUUUCUUGGUGAAUGAUGUUUUAGGCUACUCCAAGUCCUUGGUUAAAUAGGGGAAUUUUAGAGUAAUUUUUCAUUUUCUUUGAAAAAUAGGAGUUGAUGUGGAAGAAGAUGAAGAAUGGAGGUGGU
rnacentral:lncRNA from 1 species